GAAGGCCAGGUUAAGAGGACUCUUGGCUCCCAGCUUCUCCACCCAGUCCGUCUGCCCGUGAGGAUGCCACACCCCUCCUCCUGGAUUUGCCUGGGACCUGCCUGGACGGUUAAUAUUAACCUGAGGUGAUGAGCUCCCUUGCCAGGUUCCAGGGCCUCUUAGAAAGGUGGGAUGCUGACUCACUGCCUACGUGGCAGCCACGUGUUUCCACAGCGCCUAGGCAGCAGCAGCCAGCGGGCGGCCUCCUGCGCUAAGCAGAAGGGCCUCUUCCUCGGGGCGAGGAAGGGGAAAAGUAGCUGGUUUUCAGUGUCUCCAUCAGGGGAGGAAGGGCGCGUUAGCAAGGAGGAAGGAGGGCGUUCCAAGCAGCUUAGGGAAAAGCUUCCCCUGAUGGGCUCCCUGCUGCUCCAUCUGCCGUCUACAUCUCCGGAGGGUGUCUCCAGUUUUCCCCAAUCACCAACUAACACGCAAGGGGAGGCCGGGCUGGUGUGGAAUGAAGAUUUAUGAAAAGCACAACCAAGGAAGGGUUAAAGGCAACCUGUGAUAUGACCUGUCUGCAGAACGCUUAGCCCCUCCAACAAGGCCCUGCAAGUUCCAGAAGCAAAGGCCAGGUCUCCCUGUCUCUCUGCCUCGCUCCCACCCUCUGGACCACAUUUUCUUGCUCUGAAGACAGAGGUGCCUGAGGCUGUCAAACCUCCUCCCACCGCACCCCGCCCCCAGCAUGUUAGCAAAUCUCUGGAUAAGGAUAGAGAAGCCAGGCUUCACGCGCCUUUCCUUCUGCCCCCGUGAGCCUCCCAACAAAAGUAAAAUUAAAUAAAAUGAAAAGUUCUGUGCAAUUGAGAUUGUAGAAACUGACAGCUACAAACCUGGCACACAUGGGAAUAACAGGAGAGAGCACGGGACCUGCAGAUGUCAAAAGACGUUAUUCUGAACGCAAGUGCUCCUGCCGGGAGGGAAGCUGCCCUGCGGCUUCUCUCAAUGCCUUUAACCCUAAAAACACCGUGGCAAUGCUGAGACAGAUCUGGGUACGCUGGCAGGGGUACAUCCACCUUCUCAGCUCUGACACCCCCAGCAAGGUUUGAAAGCUCAGGAAGUUCCAAGAAAGCCCCUCUCCUGCCUGACCUGCUGGUACUGAGGCGGAAGCAUGGAGAAAGAAGAGAGGCUGGAAGGCAGCAGCAACGUAAAUCCAGCCCUGGGCCACAGCCCUGAAGUAAAGCCCUGACUUUCAGGAGGCUGGGACUCGCUCAGCUUCUGUUAAGCUGAAACAUGCCUGGUGCUACAGCUUAUGGGCGCUGGCUAAUCGCACCUUCUGAUUCACACCAUUGUUAAACCGACAGCUUGGGCAACAAGGAGAAUCACCCAGGGCCCAGCGCUCCAGGCCAAAACUGAGCAGAGUGCAAACUCAGGGCACGCAGAUGUUUGGUAAAUGAGUGGUGUGACUGCCCGGCCUGCUUUCUGCCCCAGACCAUGCGACUUGUCCCUCCAGAGAAGAGGAAAGUCUUAGGGAGAGGAGCCUGGCUCCCUCUGGACCACAUUUGCCUGUCUAGGGAGUCGCCGCUUCCCACAGCUGUCACACCCUGUUUUAAGACACCAGAACUAACCCACUGGGCCGCUGACAUCCCUUGCCAGCCUGGGGCCCGCGUGCAGGUUGGAGCACGCAGCUGACAUCACGCCUCAGUCUGGGUUAGCUGUCCCAGGGGCCCGAAUCCCAUCGCUCCUGCACAUGACCCCAGUUGCAACAGUGGGUUAAAGUUCAGAAGCAGGCUGCUGAAAACAUCCACGGUGAUAAGCUGCACCUUUUGCGGCAGAUAACCCCGGCAGGAGAGAAAACAGGUUACAGGACCUCUGAGCUGUCCCUUCCAGCAGCCUCGCUAAUAAAGACCUCUGACCAGUCUUUCUGCUGCUGAUCCCCAUUUACAGUAGAUUAAUGGAAAUUUAAUAUUUUUUCCAAAAUAAACAACGAGCCUAGUGCUUUAUUUUUCAGCACCCAGCUUAUGUUUUAUUUAUUUUUUAAAUUCAACUUAUUUAAAUUGAAACCAAAAAAACUGGCUCACCUAUUUCUUAUUUUGAGUAAAAUAAACACAUCAGUCUUCUAAGGGAUGUUUUCAGAGGUGAGGCAGAGGAGCUUCUUCUCCUCUCCAGCUGCUCAUGGAAUCAGGGUUUGCAAUCAGCAAGCAAACCCAAGCAAUGCUGAUGCCGUGAGUCAGCCCUGAGCCCCAGGGGCUGGCUGAAGGAUCCAGGUGCAGGGCUGUUUUGAGGGGAAGUGAACUUUGUCCUCUAAUCAAAAUGUUCAACUGGACUCAGAAUCUUCAACUUGGGAUCUCAUAGCUCUGAGAGGAGGAAUCAUUACCAGGUUUAAUUGGUUUAGAAUAAGAGGGGAAAGGAUACAAAAGGCAGCCGCAGCCUUAAGGAGCUUACAGUGCAGUUGGGAAGCCCAGAGCAAAACACAGAGAAGUUAACAGAAAUACAGAGUGGUUGGACCCAAAGCAUCUCCAGCAUGGGAGAUGCUCAAACCAGACAACCCGGGCUCAUCAGGACGGCUCAUUCCACUCCUAAUUAGUUACAAUACAAAGCUGCCAGAUGGUGCGUAUUGUUAACGACACCCAUUUGUAGGCCCCCCCCCAUAUAACACCCUUCGCUGACCGGCCGGUGCUGUUCCCUGUUGCCCGCCCCUGCACCUAAGCGGUUAGUUUGCACUCUGCACGUGAGACUUUCAAGACCAGGCCCAUCUACCUCUAGGCUCCAGGUGUUCUGAGUUUUACCCAGUUUUAAACCACUUGAGGUGCCCGCCUCAGCUGGGCUCUCUCCCACCUCCGUGCCUGUUCAUGGAAGGCCCUUUUCCUCUCUGGCUUCCCUGGUGACUCAGUGAUUCUCAUCAGGGGCAAUUUUGUCUCACAAGGGCCUUUGGCCGUGUCUGGAGGUGUGUGUUAUUGGUAGAACCUGGAGAGAGCAGGGCUGCUAUCACUGUCAUCUAGUGGGUAGAGGCCAAGCAUCUGCUCUACAUCCUAACAAUGCAAGGCUGGCCCCCCACAGCAAAGAGGGGCUGAUCCCAAAUGUCAAAGUUCCAAGAAGGAGAAACCUCGGUCUAGAUUCAUCUCAAGCUUCGCUCACCCUGCUCCCCCAAAGCUCUCCUUCUCUCCAUGAAAGAGAGAGGAGCAGCCUCUCCACGUCAGGUCCAGACCUCUCCCGUAGCAAUCAGCACAUUGCAUGUGACUGUUUACUUCCCAGUCUCUUCCCAGGCUUCUGGGAGGCAAGGAAUUUGUCAUCUUCUUCUCUUUAUGCCACUGGAUGUUGUGCAUAGUAAGGUCUCAGGGCCUGACAUGCAAGGAGAAAAGUGACUGAAUUGGAUCCAGGCCAGAAAGCAUUAUACAAUGCAUUGAGAAUAAUGUCUACACCUUGCCCCCAGGAUUCACAUAAUCUCUUAUUUACACUACCAUUAGUGGCAUUUAACAUAUAAAGACCACAAUGUGCCCAGUAUCACAGAGAACAUAAAUUUUAGACACAGAUUGUUUUUCGCUUCAGCUUACACAAUAAAAUUGGCUGGCAAGCCAG
rnacentral:lncRNA from 1 species